GAAUUAUUUAAAGGAGUGUGUUGAGAAGAAUAGUUAGUAGUGAAAGAUUCUAGUGUUUGGAUUAUGGAAUGAUUAUGUAUUGUCUUUUAGAAUAGUGUGGGAUUACACGUUUGUUAUUAUCAGUGAUGGCGGAGUACUAUUAGGAAGUGGAAAACAUUAUGGUGUUCCUUGGUGUUUUCAGUGGUUCGGAAUACAAUUAAUUGUGUGACCUUAAUAAGUAGAACUCAUGUGCUUAGUCUUUCCCUCCGUUUGAAUCUCCCUCUAAAAGUUUAUUCUGAAAGGAAUUUGUAGAAUAAGUAAAAUAAUAAUUACAAGUACUUAAUAUUGUUUUUUUAUAAAAUGAGCUUCUAUUUAUUUUAUAAGCCUAUAAAUAAGAUAAAAUAAGAUAAAUUAGCAAAAUUAAUACUAUAAGCAUCUUUGGAUGAUAAUGAA
rnacentral:lncRNA from 1 species